CUUGAAUUGGACUUGAACCUGUUUACUUGAAAAGACUUGAUAUUUUACCCAAAUCUAAAAUUUAACAUACAUAUUAUAUAAAAAGUGCGGACCAUUAAUUCACUUUAUUCAUUCAUUCAUUCUUACCACACUCCGUAUGUAUGUGAGCGUGGGCUGUAGCACAGCCAAUCAAAUUAACCAGAUUUGAAAAAAACAAGAACAAAAACGCUCGAGCCAAAAAUGCUUCCAAGAGUAAUUUCUUUCGGGUACAUAAACUACGAAGUAGUCAACAAAAAACGAAAUGCAAUAUGCAAAACAUGCAAGAAGAGAAUCACAGACGGAGAUGGAACAACUUCCAACUUUGUCCGACAUUUGAAGUUGCAUAAAGAACGGUAGGUGGUGCUUUUUUUUUCUUUUUUUUUUUGCUACGAUGAGACAGCUGACUUAGCUAACUUCAUCUUAUUAGCAAAUGUUCUUCGGGCUACGUUGAUGAUACUGUUUGGCUUUAACAGAUUCUGGCAGGCGAGAGGAGAAAAGAACGAUGGAGAGACAGAAUUGGGCCAGCGAGUGGCAGAGCUCCCCACAGCCAGUCAGGGCCUGGAUGUCUGAGGAGGGACUGAAGGCCCUUGGGCAAGUACUGACAUCACCAGCUUGGAUUCUUUGUCUGGCAAGACAGCCUCAUGUAAAUAUUACAUCCAGGCCCACACAUCUUCUGCCUCCACACCCACACUCACUUCGAUUUUAAUCAAAACUCUGGGUGCUUUACAAAGACUUGGUAAGUG
ensembl:lncRNA